rnacentral:rRNA from 1 species
UACGGAGGGUGCAAACGUUGCUCGGAAUCAUUGGGCGUAAAGCGCACGUAGGCGGCUCGUUAAGUCGGAUGUGAAAGCCCCCGGGCUCAACCCGGGAAGUGCAUUCGAAACUGGCGAGCUUGAAUAUGGAAGAGGGUCGCGGAAUUCCCGGUGUAGAGGUGAAAUUCGUAGAUAUCGGGAGGAACACCAGUGGCGAAGGCGGCGACCUGGGCCAAUAUUGACGCUGAGGUGCGAAAG